rnacentral:rRNA from 1 species
UACGGAAGGCAGCAGUGGGGAAUAUUGCACAAUGGGCGAAAGCCUGAUGCAGCUAUGCCGCGUGCAUGAAGAAGGCCUUAGGGUUGUAAAGUACUUUCAUCGGGGAGGAAAAAACAAAACUAAUAAUUUUAUUUCUUGACGUUACCCGAAAAAGAAGCACCGGCUAACUCCGUGCCAGCAGCCGCGGUAAUACGGAGGGUGCUAGCGUUAAUCAGAAUUACUGGGCGUAAAGAGCACGUAGGUGGUUUUUUUAAGUCAGAUGUGAAAUCCCUGGGCUUAACCUAGGAACUGCAUUUUGAAACUGAAAUACUAGAGUAUCGUAGAGGGAGGUAGAAUUCUAGGUGUAGCGGUGAAAUGCGUAGAUAUCUGGAGGAAUACCUGUGGCGAAAGCGGCCUCCUAAACGAAUACUGACACUGAGGUGCGAAAGCGUGGGGAGCAAACAGGGAUUAGAUACC